AUGUCACUCCUAUGCUUAUAAAAUUAGAAAUCCGCUUAGGUGGAAAAUUCCACGAGUCCUUGCUCGAAUGCGUUAGUGCUGGAAAUACAGAGGCCGUCUACUACGAAGGUCUCUACGAACAACAUUUGAUGUGGAGCAUGCCAUCAAUGUCUUGGAACCAAACGUCCCAACGCACGCAUUGUCAACGUUGGACGUCGGUGUUUUCAACGUUUGUCUUGGUAAAGAUAAAGAAGCCAGUAAAGUUUUUUUGGAGUUCGGUGCAAUUCAUGACAAGCUUAGGUCAGAUGCCAUAUUGGAACUGACCGAUGAGCUUGAGUGGAGAUUGACUCUGUUCCUGGCGCCACAUUUAAACAGCUACCCUCUAACCUUCAAAUUUCCUGACGAUGAGGUCAUCAAAUCACCAAAGUGUCUCUAUGGCCAUGAUUACGCAAAGUACCUUGAAGGUUCCUGCAAAAACUACAGGCUCUUUUGGAUCUGUUCCAAUAUUGCUCACAUGCUCUAAAAUCUCCCUUCGCUAUGUUUUCUUGUUUUGUUUUUUGACACCGGCUAUGAUUAUGUUGGUUUAUCUAUUUUCUUAACAAAUCACAGUGCAUUAACCAAGUGGUGCACAUAAAAUUUAGUAUUUUUGUACAUGGAUGUUGGUGUACGUGCAUGUUGGUGUACACCAUUAUCCAUGUACACAUGUAUUCAGUAUUCAAGUACAUAAACAACUGCCAUCAACUAUGUUGUGGGUUAUCUAUUUUUUUUUACAAAGCGCAGCGCAUUAAUUGGUGUACCUAACGGCGUGUGUAGACGAAUUAAAGUGUAUAUUACGACUGUUGUACAUGUAUAUAAGUGUAUAUGAGGACUGGUGUACAUGGAUAUACGAGUCCAAGAAUAGUAGUGUACAACAAUUGAAGUGGACAUGACCACUGGUGUUCAUGGAUAUUGGUGUACAUGACCACUAGUGUACACAUAUUUUGGAUAUUGGUGUACCUGAAGUCAAAAAGUGUACAUGACUUCAAUUAACAAUAACUUCAAACACUCCUUAUUUUACCAACAAUAUGAAGCACGCAAAUUACAACGACAUAAACUGACAAACACACUAAAACUUGAAGUUAAGACCAAUGAUCCCUCCUAAAACAACAACAAAUCCAACCGACGAUGCCACCAACACAUUACGAAGCACUGAACUCCUCUCAGUAAGUACCAACACUGCUCUCUUCAAAGGUUCACAUUCUUCACUUUUGUCAUUCCGCUGUUCAACCAGAUCAUUCGAGAUUUGGACAUUCGAGUUCUGGUGUGCCUGUUUACUUACCUGGUUUCUCAGCUUGGCGAUCUCCUCUUUUUGUUCAUUAAUUAUAUCCCUCGCUUCAAGUAAAGCAAGGUGUUGCCAUCCAUGUGGUGGUUCCAGAUCAAACCACUGAAAGAAAUCGCACUUAACAUAGUCCCGACCAACUCGCCGACCUCUGCAACUAAGGAAUCUCCGCCUGGGGUUUUUACGCAUCCACGCCCUCACAGAAUUUGCCGUAAGGUUAUAGUCGCAACGUACCCCAUGCUCGGUUGAGGAUGACGAGAUGAUACUCUCGGAGUUCGCAGCCACGAAAUUUCCACUCUCCGAAAUUUUCUCCAAUAACUAUGAAGAUCGCCUAAUUUCAAAUCUCCCGAACCUUAGAUCCCCUUCUAAUCGAUUUACUCAUUUGUGGGGAUUAAAUAGAUGAACCUACUAAAGAGACCAAUUUAACAAGAUUUAUAAUCUAACUCUAUUAAAAGGAGAAUAACAAGCCUUCUUAGCUAUGCCACGUCGGAUCAGAAAAUCAGCCACUCAUAUUACAACAAUCAUCCAUGUUAUCUGUUUCUAUUUGAUUUUGGGCUUCGUCUUUUAUUUUGGGCUUCUUAUUUUGCCUUUCCUUAGUUUUUAGUGAAUGUGAAUAAAUUCCAUAAAAAAUGAAUUUAAUAUCAAUCUACCCGGAUCACAUUCUUUACCGUUGGAUUAGAUUUAAUCCAACGGACCACAUCUGACCAUACUCUCUCUCUCUCUCUCUCUCUCUCUCUCUCUCUCUCUCUCACUCUCUCUCUCUCUCUCUCUCUCUCUCUCUCUCUGUCGACACUUUGCUUUUCGCUUUUCCUUUAUUUUUCUUCUCCGAAAGUCAUCUUCUCUCCAUAGAUUCUCACCCAAUCUCUUAAUCUUUCCAUGGAAACAUGUAAAACAAAAUUCAAUCUCUCGUCAAUUUCGUCUAAUUCUUUAUCAUUCUAUGAACAAAAAGCUUGGCUGAAAGAAGAAAACAGUCGAAGGUCACGGCUUUAGAGGAAAACGACGAAGCUCAUGACUGGAUGAAUAAGAUGACGACGAUGAACACAAAGCCCACCACCACCAGAUCUAGCUCUGCCGAGAUGAAUCCGACCAAUAUCUAUCUCCCUCUUCACAUCUCCUUCCGCUCCUCCCUACUCCAAUGAACCACGCCGUGUCUGCAUCUAUCGGACUCGCACCUUCGAGAAACGAAAAGCAGGAUCUGGAGAAGCUGUGGUGUGGUGUGGAGAUGUCAAAGGAAGGUAGCGGUGGUGGUGGUAGUGGAGCCGAGCAAGAAGAAGAAGAAGAGAAAGGCGGAGAAGAAGAGAAGACAUAGAUGCGAGGAGGAUGGAGUCGGAAGAUGAAGACGGCGGCGUAGAUUAGAUUUAGGUUUUGGUAUAUUAGGUUUGGUUUAGUUAGGUAUUGGUUCAAAUGAGUAGUAUUUUCUGCCACAAUUAACGCCAAAUAUUAAAAGAGUCAGCACACAAUUAUCUUUCACAUAUUUUUUUCAAUAUCAACAUUGAAACAAAACUUAA